rnacentral:rRNA from 1 species
AGAGUUUGAUCCUGGCUCAGAUUGAACGCUGGCGGCAUGCCUUACACAUGCAAGUCGAACGGCAGCACGGGUGCUUGCACCUGGUGGCGAGUGGCGAACGGGUGAGUAAUAUAUCGGAACGUACCCUAGAGUGGGGGAUAACGUAGCGAAAGUUACGCUAAUACCGCAUACGAUCUACGGAUGAAAGUGGGGGAUCGCAAGACCUCAUGCUCAUGGAGCGGCCGAUAUCUGAUUAGCUAGUUGGUGGGGUAAAAGCCUACCAAGGCGACGAUCAGUAGCUGGUCUGAGAGGACGACCAGCCACACUGGAACUGAGACACGGUCCAGACUCCUACGGGAGGCAGCAGUGGGGAAUUUUGGACAAUGGGGGCAACCCUGAUCCAGCAAUGCCGCGUGAGUGAAGAAGGCCUUCGGGUUGUAAAGCUCUUUUGUCAGGGAAGAAACGGGAUUUUCUAAUACAAAGUCCUAAUGACGGUACCUGAAGAAUAAGCACCGGCUAACUACGUGCCAGCAGCCGCGGUAAUACGUAGGGUGCAAGCGUUAAUCGGAAUUACUGGGCGUAAAGCGUGCGCAGGCGGUUGUGCAAGACAGAUGUGAAAUCCCCGGGCUCAACCUGGGAAUUGCAUUUGUGACUGCACGGCUAGAGUGUGUCAGAGGGGGGUAGAAUUCCACGUGUAGCAGUGAAAUGCGUAGAGAUGUGGAGGAAUACCGAUGGCGAAGGCAGCCCCCUGGGAUAACACUGACGCUCAUGCACGAAAGCGUGGGGAGCAAACAGGAUUAGAUACCCUGGUAGUCCACGCCCUAAACGAUGUCUACUAGUUGUCGGGUCUUAAUUGACUUGGUAACGCAGCUAACGCGUGAAGUAGACCGCCUGGGGAGUACGGUCGCAAGAUUAAAACUCAAAGGAAUUGACGGGGACCCGCACAAGCGGUGGAUGAUGUGGAUUAAUUCGAUGCAACGCGAAAAACCUUACCUACCCUUGACAUGUACGGAACUUACCAGGGAUGGUUUGGUGCUCGAAAGAGAACCGUAACACAGGUGCUGCAUGGCUGUCGUCAGCUCGUGUCGUGAGAUGUUGGGUUAAGUCCCGCAACGAGCGCAACCCUUGUCAUUAGUUGCUACGAAAGGGCACUCUAAUGAGACUGCCGGUGACAAACCGGAGGAAGGUGGGGAUGACGUCAAGUCCUCAUGGCCCUUAUGGGUAGGGCUUCACACGUCAUACAAUGGUACAUACAGAGGGCCGCCAACCCGCGAGGGGGAGCUAAUCCCAGAAAGUGUAUCGUAGUCCGGAUUGUAGUCUGCAACUCGACUACAUGAAGUUGGAAUCGCUAGUAAUCGCGGAUCAUCAUGUCGCGGUGAAUACGUUCCCGGGUCUUGUACACACCGCCCGUCACACCAUGGGAGCGGGUUUCACCAGAAGUAGGUAGCCUAACCGCAAGGAGGGCGCUUACCACGGUGGGAUUCGUGACUGGGGUGAAGUCGUAACAAGGUA